AGUGCCUGCCCCAUAAACGCUCAAUAAGUGCUUUUUGCUAUAAUCCCUGCCCUUUGGGAUCAAGCAUUAAACACAGGCUCAAGACACUGAAUCUCACUGCAGCAUAAAAGCGCCUGUUUUACUGAAACCUUGGUGAGAUUGUGGCCUAUGUGCGUGCCGGCUCAGCAGCAGGCAUCUUCUCACCCUGUCACAAAAGGCCCGUAAGGCCCAGAGAGAUGCUGCAGCUCCGCCUGACAAGUGGUCCUGCUGCCAACACGCCAGUUCUGGCCCGGGGCCAUUUUCACUCACUGUUCUCUCUGCCUGGAAGGCUCUUCCCCAAGACGGUGACAAGUUACCUCAAAAAAUGGAAUCAUAGCCCUUUAGACCUGGAAAAGACUCUGGGAAUCCUCUGGUCCAAACUCCUUCACAGAUGAGGUUGGCGAAACUUGACAGGUCUGUGUUCCAUGAAUACAGGAAGAAUUAAGAGUAAGGAAGAAAGAAAUGCAGAAACAUCACCUGAAUACUUGCCUACCCCCUGGAAAAGUUCAAGGCUCUUGCUCAUUUUAUGAAUUUUCCCCAAGCCACUGGUUCUCAUACAUCUUCAGACAUCUGAUCAAGGAAGCAUCAGAGGAAAAUAAAAAGUUGGGUAUCUGCGUAGAAGUCAGUGUCCCGGCUCAGAUGUCGGUGGAGAAUGUGAUUUUUUCUCUGGUGCUGGGCGAUCAGAAUGGGAGCCUUCUGUGUAGGAAGCCGCCUAGCUGAAAGAGCUAUUGCACCCUGGCCUAUUUCCCAUUCCUCGGUAGAGAGGGGCAGACCUGUUUUCCCCAUUCUAGCACUUAUUCUUAGAGCCCCCUAAAUACCCAGGAGAGCCUUGUUUUUAAUCAAAGGUUGAAAUGGAACCUCCCCCAGGGCGCACCGAU
ensembl:lncRNA